ensembl:misc_RNA
ACGAUAGGAGCUUUAGUGAGGAGGUAAAAUUCCUCUGUCUAAUCACAAAACAGCAGCAACAGAAGCAUUAGCACUGCAAGUUUCAUCAAAUGGUAUAGUCUGCUCAUCCAGUGUAGCUCAGUUCUGAUUGAAUGGAACCACUUGCAGAGGUACAAGGCUAGUUCAGUCUCCAUGCCCAUUCAGCCCUUGGCUUUU